rnacentral:rRNA from 1 species
UACGAAGGGGACUAGCGUUGUUCGGAAUCACUGGGCGUAAAGCGCACGUAGGCGGAUUUGUAAGUCAGGGGUGAAAUCCCGGGGCUCAACCUCGGAACUGCCUUUGAUACUGCGAAUCUUGAGUCCGAUAGAGGUGGGUGGAAUUCCUAGUGUAGAGGUGAAAUUCGUAGAUAUUAGGAAGAACACCAGUGGCGAAGGCGGCCCACUGGAUCGGUACGUGACGCUGAGGUGGCGAAAGCGUGGGGAGCAAACA